rnacentral:rRNA from 1 species
AUGAAUGUGUGGGUGGGGAUCCUCUGGCCGCACGACAACCACCAAACCCGCGUCGCAAGCCGCUGGGAUCCUGCCUCCAUGCAACCUUACUCCACAUGUUAUCGUGACCUUCCUCUACUUGCCGCCGUGACCAGCAGCGGCCAUGACCCUCCAAGCGCCGGCGCAGCUACACUCCACCGCUGUCGGUGGGCCGCCAACCACCACCACCUCAUACAACCCGAUAGCUCCCUCCACAAACUAGCGCCGCCUGCCCCCACUACAUCUGCCACCUCCUGUAGUCUCUGCACAGCGGCGGCACCUUCCCAUGUUGUAUACCCGCAUCCUCUACCUUCGUCUACAAGCGUCUCAAUCCCCAGCAACACCCCUGUACAGAAUAGAUGCAGAGAAAAUAGUGGCUUGUCGGAUGUUGUCGCCAUGGAUGACGACGGUGAUCUCGUUCUCAAUCGGAGAAUGAAGAGACACUGGAGAAGGGACGAGGAUCAUGUCCUCACCGUGCAGCAUGGCGUCACCUCUUCGCUCCGGAGCGUCGGUCUUCUUGCGGGAGAGCAUUCAGUGUCGGAUUUCCUACUAUGUUUGGAAGGCAGCCAUGCUGCUAACCUGACUUUGUGUUGCACAAGAGCUUCACGUCGUCUGAAUGCGACGGUCAAAAUGUUGUGUCCGAGAAGUUCAAUGACAAAUAAGCAACAAGUUCAUGUUUGUCAACCAUUGAAGUUCAUGUAUAUGGUAGUUGAUGAUUGUUGUGUGCACUUAGGGGAGCACAAAAAAAUGCGGCUGGCCAAGGUCCGUGGAUGUUGA